GGAAAUUGCACCCAAGAAAAGCUGAGUGCGUGUGUCUGAGCAACGUUACGCCCUCGGUGCAUGCGGGUAGAGCCGAGGAGAAUUGGCUCUGAAGGAAACCGUUUCCUCAUUGAGAAGUUGUGGAAGGAAAGAAGAACGUUGCAAGGGAAGGCAUGAACUCAGCUGCGUCAGGCAUGGCCCAUGCCCUGGAGACCUUACAGUCCAUACAAUUUAAUAUUGAGCAGACCAGAGAGAGAGCAAUGGAGACUGAAACAGGCAAUGCCAAGACCUCGACUUGGGUUUCCUACUGCUCAGGUGUCAAGAAAACCACUGUCAUAGACACCAGGAGAAAAUUUACAAGAGGGGAAAUACCUGAAGAGGAGGAAGAAGAGGAGAAAUCCUUUUAG
rnacentral:lncRNA from 1 species